UUUCUACUACAACACAUCCCGUCUUCUCCUCUCCAGAAUAUGGGCCUGCUUGCAUCUUUGUCUGAGGGGUCUAGUGCUGGUACUUUCAGAUACUAUAAGGCUUGCUUCAAUUCAGCUGGAAAAUAAGAGCUUGAGGAAAGAACUUAAAAGUCUGUGGCAAGUCUAUAAGGACUGAUGUGUACAACAUGACUGUAAUGUUUAAUUCUAGACUAAAAAUCAAUGAAUCUGCAAAGUUCUGUAUUUCAUAGUAAACAGAGACAAAUCUACAGCCCUAUUGUCAAAUGUUGUACAGUCUUCUCCUGAGGAACAUCUGCAAAGAAGCCCCACACCUGCAGAAAGGUUUGUUCCCAGGAUGAUGUCACCUAUGUAUGCCAGGAAGGAAUGUUCUUCUUCACUGCUCAAAUGAGGGUUUUCAACUAUUCCCUCCCAUUUAAUCCACAUUUCAUUGCAGAGUAACUUGAGACUUCUUCACACCAUUUGACUUUGAUGGCACGUACGAGUAAUGCAGAAACCUUUCUUUCCUGAGGGAAAUUAAGAAAAUAAUUCAUUCUUUCACUCAGUAACUCAAGUGAAUCCAAUUUGGGUUCAUUCUUUUAGGAAAUGUGUUUGGCUAAUUCUGUCAAGUUAAAUAUGAAAAGAAAAACGUCAAUAAUACUGACCAUUGUGACAUCACAAUUCUUAGUUCUUUGUACUAUUCUUUCUCCA